CCUUACUCUCCUUUUAAUCUGUGGUAUGUUCUAAUUGCUUCUCUUUUAUGGCUCUCAUGAAUUAUGCCUACUUGUACAAUUUACAGAUCAAAUAUGAUUUCUAUGACGGUCAAUAGACGAAUGAUUUAUGCACUUUUUAAGAAACCUAUAUCGGUUGAAUUUUGACACUUCUUCGAUGGCCAAGUAUUUAACCAUUGUGAAAUGAUUUUUCGAAAAUAUAGGUAAUAAUGAUUUUAAUGGUAGUUAAGCAGUCAUCCGUUACCCAUUGAUAAAUCUAGUGUGUUUUGAUCUUCAUGUACACAGAAGCGUGGAAGGUAAUAAAUAAGUUACUCGUGCAUAUAAUAUACUAAGGUUUUGCAUAAAUUUUUACAUACUAAGAUUGUGAAUUUAUUAAGAUCUUCCAGUAACGAGAAGCGUGGAACAUAUUUCGUAUGCAAUAUUGAAUAAAACUAAUUAGUAUAAUCAACAAGCUAUCAACUUCCUUUUCUUUUUAAUUAUCAAGUUCUUCCACUUAUAAGUUUCUCUUUUUUCAUUUGUUUGGGGAUUCUAAAGAGAUAUUGCACUACUAUAAGUAAUGCUAUUAAGUUGAAGCCUGAAAUAUACAUGAUUUUCUCAUACCCGCAUCUUGAAUUUUGCCUAAGUUUUCUUUGCUCGUGUUUUAUACCCAAUACUUAGCAAGACCAAGCUAAACAAUAGAUUUGUUUUUCUUUCUAAAGACUGAUAUUGCACUACUAUGACAGGGCUGUUUUUCUUGGGAAGCAAUGUGCAAUAUGCUGAAGCCCAAAAGAAAGUUUGCCCAAAAAAUUGCCUCAAAUUUGGGUAUAUGACUUGCCCAAAAUCUGGUUCAAGGAGGCUCCAUCCAGGCUGCACAAACUGUUGCAAAAUCAAAAAGGGUUGCAAACUUUAUCGACCUAAUGGAAGCCUUAUUUGUACUGGAAAGUAAUUUGGAUAUGAGAUAAAUCUUAAAUAAACUAUCAUAAGUUUGUACUACAAACAUACAAAAUAAAUAAAUGAAUCCGCUUCUGUGAAAUGAAAUACAAGAUUCAAGUUUAAUGAUAUUAUUGGAUGUUGUUUCUAUGGAAUAAUCUUUCACAUAAUUUCUUCUCUAAAUUUAUUGGGUUGUAUACUCUUAUAUUGAUCUACAAUAGCAAAGAGUUGUUGUAGAAACAGUAUAUACAAUACAAUAAAUGCGGACACUACAAAAAUUGAGUCCAAAUAAGAGAGUAUUGACCUAUAGAUCUCUUGAAGAUAGAAUUUGCCCCUGGCACAUGGAGAAGAUACGUUGUAGAAGAGAGAAAAAACAACCAAAAC
rnacentral:lncRNA from 1 species